rnacentral:rRNA from 1 species
GUGCCUAACACAUGCAAGUCGAACGGGGUAUUUCUUCGGAGAUACUUAGUGGUGAACGGGUGAGUAACGCGUGAGAAACCUGCCUUUCAGUGGGGGACAACAGUUGGAAACGACUGCUAAUACCGCAUAAUGUUAUUUGGGGGCAUCCCUGAAUAACCAAAGAUUUAUUGCUGAAAGAUGGUCUCGCGUCUGAUUAGCUAGAUGGCGGGGUAACGGCCCACCAUGGCGACGAUCAGUAGCCGGUCUGAGAGGAUGAACGGCCACAUUGGGACUGAGAUACGGCCCAGACUCCUACGGGAGGCAGCAGUGGGGAAUAUUGGGCAAUGGGGGAAACCCUGACCCAGCAACGCCGCGUGAAGGAAGAAGGCCUUCGGGUUGUAAACUUCUUUUACCAGGGACGAACACAAUGACGGUACCUGGAGAAAAAGCAACGGCUAACUACGUGCCAGCAGCCGCGGUAAUACGUAGGUUGCAAGCGUUGUCCGGAUUUACUGGGUGUAAAGGGCGUGUAGGCGGAGAUGCAAGUUGGGAGUGAAAUCCCGGGGCUCAACCCCGGAACUGCUUUCAAAACUGCAUCCCUUGAGUAUCGGAGAGGCAAGCGGAAUUCCUAGUGUAGCGGUGAAAUGCGUAGAUAUUAGGAGGAACACCAGUGGCGAAGGCGGCUUGCUGGACGACAACUGACGCUGAGGCGCGAAAGCGUGGGGAGCAAACAGGAUUAGAUACCCCGGUAGUCCACGCUGUAAACGAUGAAUACUAGGUGUGGGAGGACUGACCCCUUCCGUGCCGCAGUUAACACAAUAAGUAUUCCACCUGGGGAGUACGACCGCAAGGUUGAAACUCA